CCUACGGGAGGCAGCAGUGGGGAAUAUUGCACAAUGGGGGAAACCCUGAUGCAGCAACGCCGCGUGAGUGAAGAAGUAUUUCGGUAUGUAAAGCUCUAUCAGCAGGGAAGAAGCAAGACGGUACCUGACUAAGAAGCCCCGGCUAACUACGUGCCAGCAGCCGCGGUAAUACGUAGGGGGCGAGCGUUAUCCGGAUUCACUGGGUGUAAAGGGAGCGUAGACGGCCAUGCAAGCCAGGGGUGAAAGCCCGGGGCCCAACCCCGGGACUGCCCUUGGAACUGCAUGGCUGGAGUGCGGGAGGGGCAGGCGGAAUUCCUGGUGUAGCGGUGAAAUGCGUAGAUAUUAGGAGGAACACCAGUGGCGAAGGCGGCUUACUGGACUGCAACUGACGUUGAGGCUCGAAAGCGUGGGGAGCAAACAGGAUUAGAUACCCGGGUAGUC
rnacentral:rRNA from 1 species